AGAGUUUGAUCAUGGCUCAGGAUGAACGCUGGCGGCGUGCUUAACACAUGCAAGUCGAACGAGGUCCAACCAAACUUGUUUGGGGAAGAUCUAGUGGCGAACGGGUGCAUAACACGUGAGAAACCUGCCUCAGUCUCUGGGAUAACAGUUGGAAACGACUGCUAAUACCGGAUGCCGUCACACCAUCACAUGUUGGAGUGACGAAAGAUUUAUCGGAUUGAGAGGGUCUCGCGGCCUAUCAGCUAGUUGGAGAGGUAACGGCUCACCAAGGCAUCGACGGGUAGCUGGUCUGAGAGGAUGAUCAGCCACACUGGGACUGAGACACGGCCCAGACUCCUACGGGAGGCAGCAGUGGGGAAUCUUGCACAAUGGGCGAAAGCCUGAUGCAGCAACGCCGCGUGCGGGAAGAAGGCCCUAGGGUUGUAAACCGCUUUCAGUAGGGAAGAAAAUGACGGUACCUACAGAAGAAGGUGCGGCCAACUACGUGCCAGCAGCCGCGGUGACACGUAGGCACCAAGCGUUAUCCGGAUUUAUUGGGCGUAAAGAGCUCGUAGGCGGUUCGGUAAGUCGGGUGUGAAAACUCUGGGCUCAACCCAGAGAGGCCACCCGAUACUGCUGUGACUAGAGUGCGGUAGGGGAGCGGGGAAUUCCUGGUGUAGCGGUGAAAUGCGCAGAUAUCAGGAGGAACACCAGCGGCGAAGGCGCCGCUCUGGGCCGUAACUGACGCUGAGGAGCGAAAGCAUGGGUAGCAAACAGGAUUAGAUACCCUGGUAGUCCAUGCCGUAAACGUUGGGCACUAGGUGUGGGUCUCAACCAACGAGAUCCGCGCCGUCGCUAACGCAUUAAGUGCCCCGCCUGGGGAGUACGGUCGCAAGACUAAAACUCAAAGGAAUUGACGG
rnacentral:rRNA from 1 species